UCAUUUAGAAAAGCACUGACUUCUGCGCCUCAGUGUUUAGCAUGGCGGAACUUAUCGGCAGUUGGCUUCUGCGAUGAUUCCCACCGCGAGAAAACAACAGUGUGACGAUUACAAGGAGAAUUCAACUUGGAACAGUAAAGAAAAACAUCAACUAUGAGUAUAGACGACCGACUCUGGCAAAGAAAGAACGAGACAGGACUUUGGAUUGUGUUGAAGAGCUUUGAGCUGCGACAUACGGCCUGUAUUGGUCCGGCGGCGAUACCUUUGCGAUCUUGCUGGAGCCUCGACGGUGCUGAUUCACAAGGCGGGGAGUGAACGGGAAGUGACUCUUUGUCUUCAAAGGAAGGAGACAAAAUAAGGAAAAAGUGGUCAAGGACGUGGACGAGCAGAGGAUCAUGUUCAAGAUGAAAGACGUGAUGAGUUGAUGGUGUAGAAAGGAAACCCCUCGGACACAGAACUUAUUUGGUUACAAGUCAGGCAUCGGACCGAGCUCUGCAGCAGCUCAGGAGAACGUGUUCCUGCAGAAUCUCCCAACAAUUCUGCCCCAGAAGAGCAAAACUAACCUUAUAUAGAUUAUCUUUCAUUAUCAUUGCAGGCAUCACAUGCUCCGACACCCGCCCUUUCUCCUGUUUCCAUGGUGCAACGCGUCGGGAUAAACCAAAGUGUCUCAUGAUCUGCAACAAGUUUGGACAAUAUCACCAUUUAGUCAAACAAGAGACAUCUAUACUUGCUUAACACACCAUAUCUAGGACAGACCCUCCAGCUUCCUGUCCUACAAAGGAUACAUAUUGUAAAGCGUGUGGUCUGACUGUCAUGUGUCCAGAAUACCCUGUUGUCUCAUGUUUACUUACUAAUGUCCAUCAUUAAUACAUACAUGUGUUAAUGUGUUCUUCUAAGUUCAUAUACGUCAAAAAACAAAGAAAACACUCAUCCACUCCGUCAAUCCCACCAAUAACACAGCAGAUUAAGUCUGUUAUUCGACGCUGUGCCAGCCUUUCUCCUUCGUGAUAUAAGUGUGUGGUCUAUGGGAAACAUCAGAUGUGACGAGUGAAAGACUGUUUUAUGUUGUAACUUUGCAGCAAGACAUCGUAGACGCUGAUAGUAUAGACAUCUCCACAGUCACUUUAGAGAGUCAGUAUCGUGAUUCAUGAUUUCCCCGUCUAAGUGGCGUAUGAAGCUUCCGGAGGCCGUUAAUGGACCACUCAGCUGUAUCUCCGUCCCGUACCCUUCAGUCGUUAUCUUGUCUUUUUGGGCUUUUUCUCAGACACCUCACUGUCAAAGCCGGCGGAGUCCACAAGUUGACUCUUUGUGCAGGUUUUCUUAUCUCAGCAGGACGUCAGCGGCACGAGAGAGAGAGUCGUGCACCGCCAUUACGGGGAGAUAGUGAGAGAAUGAGAGAGGGAAAGCAGAGAGACGUGUCUCCUCGUCUCAUCUUACUCGGAGGCUGUGUGUCCUGCAGAGGAAGGAAGAAGAUCGUCCAUGAAUGCAGCACGGCCUCUCGUACUCAGAUACAGUUCUGUAUCACACAUGUGGAUGCAUGAAGACAAAGCAACAACGUUUCACAUGCAAUGCAAAUGAAAAAGAUAUUUAGCUAUCAUUCAAUAAUUAGACAUUUAAAAAAAACUUCACUCAUCAGUGAAUAUAUAAUAUAUCAAUGAAGUCCACUCACCGUAUUAGCUCAGCGGUGUCUGACGUGUCUGACGUUUCUCUGAAGUGUCUCUGAAGUCUCUGACGUGUCUCUGAUAUGUCUCUGAAGUGUCUCUUACGUGUCUGACGGGUCUCUGACGUAUCUCUUACAUGUUUGACGUGUCUCUGAAGUGUCUCUUACAUGUCUGACGUGUCUCUGAUGUGUCUCUUACAUGUCUGACGUGUCUCUGACGUGUCUCUUACAUGUUUGACGUGUCUCUGACAUGUCUGACAUGUCUCUGAUGUGUCUCUGAAGUGUCUCUGAAGUGUCUCUUACAUGUCUGACGUGUCUGACGUGUCUCUUGUGUGUCUGACGUUUCUCUGAAGUGUCUCUGUAGUGUCUGACGUGUCUCUGAAGUGUCUGACGUGUUUCUGACAUGUCUGACGUUUCUCUGAAGUCUCUGACGUGUCUCUGAAGUGUCUUUUACGUGUCUGACGUGUCUCUGACGUAUCUCUUACAUGUUUGACGUGUCUCUGAAGUGUCUCUUACAUGUCUGACGUGUCUCUGACGUGUCUGUGAUGUGUCUCUUACAUGUCUGACGUGUCUCUGACGUGUCUCUUACAUGUUUGACGUGUCUCUGAAGUGUCUGACGUGUCUCUGAUGUGUCUCUGAAGUGUCUCUUACAUGUCUGAUGUGUCUCUGACGUGUCUCUGAAGUGUCUCUUACAUGUCUGCCGUGUCUCUGAAGUGUCUCUGGCGUAUCUGACGUGUCUCUUACAUGUCUGAAGUGUCUCUUACAUGUCUGAUGUGUCUCUGACGUGUCUCUGAAGUGUCUCUUACAUGUCUGCCGUGUCUCUGAAGUGUCUCUGGCGUAUCUGACGUGUCUCUUACAUGUCUGAAGUGUCUCUUACAUGUCUGAUGUGUCUCUGACGUGUCUCUGAAGUGUCUCUUACAUGUCUGCCGUGUCUCUGAAGUGUCUCUGGCGUAUCUGACGUGUCUCUUACAUGUCUGAAGUGUCUCUUACAUGUCUGACGUGUCUCUGACGUAAAUAAAAAAAUAACGUCUGUUGAACCCUUA